GUGACUCAUAAUGGUUGAGUGUGUGAAGGAGCAGGGUGGAGGGGAAAUAUUUUUCAUGUGAGUUUAUAGCCACACAUGCUCCCACAUAGACUUGCCAAUGAGUCAUGGUCACUGUCCACUCCGACCCUGACUUCUCAUUAGGAGGAGCUCCCCCAGGACAUGCCCACGCUGAAGCUCAGGAAUACCAUGCCUUUCCCAUCAAAAGCCCAGUGAAGAAACUUAUGACUUUCCAGCAGUGAAAGAAACAAGGGCAAACAGAAUGCUCCGUUGGUUUUGUCAUUUCUCCUCAUCAAUCUCAUUGCAAAUUGGAAGGUGAAUCUGGUGGUUUCUUCCACUCUACUCAACUCAGCAGUUUAGCUGAUUAUGCUGUUAUGUAGCUGCUUAUGAAUACCAGUUUGUGGAUUCAGUUCCAAUUUGUGGCUCUAAGAAACCAGGAUGCAAUAAGCCCUUCCAUGGCCAGCGUCAUUAGUUAAAAGGAAGUGAGAGUUCUAACUUCAGUCAUCCUUGAAUUCUCCUGUGAAUGAAGUUCGGCUCAGUUCUCUUCAUUUCGACAAGUAACUGCUGACUGACUAGCAGGUGCCUGAGUGUGGGAACUUCAGAAUGACCUGUAGUGACUUACAGUUUGAUUGGUGGACAGAGGCAUCCGGGUGUGAGAAAUUCUGGACCCACAGCACUGAAGACCAGACACUAAUAAAAUAUCCAUCAACUGCUUGGCUGCCAAGAGCCCAUGGACUAAAAUAUUAUCAAAGACAUCCAAAGAACAGCAUCUUCAAAUAGAAGUUCUUUACAACAUUCCAUGGACUAAUCAAGAGCAGCCAGAUAUGUGGUCCAGGCCCUACAAGCAGCCUUUAGAAGCCG